rnacentral:lncRNA from 1 species
AAGGAAUAAGCAUACAGAGAAACAGUGAAGGUAUGGAACGGUUUCUUAGGAUUGAAUGGAAGAGCUUUAAAUCUUGCUUUUUUUUUUUUUUUUUAAGAACUACGUAUUGCAAUAAUGGCCUGCUACAGCUCCUAUGGAAAAAAAAUUAAAAGGUGAUGUUUAUUCAUCUGUUCCCAUUCUUUCCCUCAGUUCCCUGGCGUGUCAUGCAAGAGAAGUGUGAUCCUUUGAUAAAUCAGCAGCGAUACAAUUUAAAAGAUGGAUUUGCUUACUGUUAGCAAUACUUGUAUGCUCUACCACAGCAGGAAGUUUUAGGUUGGAGACCUCCCAGACCAAGCCUUGCAAUUCUGGAGUAAAUGUUGCUACUAUAGUGAAAAAGAGCAGCCAUGGAAUACCUUGGAGUCCACAUGGCGUUUCUGGAAGAGCAGCACACCUGCCUCCCUUUGUCUUCAGGCUCUGCCUCCCAGGCCUCAUAGGCAGUGAAGUUAAAUUCAUGAGUUCAUAAAGUGCCGGAUUAUCUCUUGGUGGAAGGUGGGAUAGAACUGUAAAGCACUUUAUUUCUUUGCUGUCCACAGGGAGUUAUUACUUUGGUCCAACACAUUAUUAGUGAGCAUUUGAAAAUUGCACUGAAUGAUUCACUGGGAACCAAACAGUAGUAAAUAAUGCCUGUUUAGACCUGCUGUCCUGUGAGGAAAAUUUGGCUAGACGACAGGUUGAGAUUUGCCUAAACUAAUAUGUAUUUCUAAAAAUCUUAGCAAGGUCAACCAGAGUGAUCAUAAAUCAGUAGACUGUGAUAUUCGCAGUCUUCACUACUGCUCCUGAUCACGGGCAUUUACAUUACCUUGGUCUGCUAGCUUCAUUACAGGCCAUGUCUUUGAGAGAUUAAUCUGUUCUGCU